rnacentral:lncRNA from 1 species
ACUGAUAAUAUAAAUAUGGUAUUUUCCACCACCAAACAUCAAAGUGAUUCACCAAUGUGGUUUGAGUUGAGGUACGGCAGAAUUACUGGCUCAACUCUUUAUGAAGCCGCUCACUGUAGAACUAUAAAUGGUUCCCUUCUGUACAAAAUAAUAGGAGAGCAUUUACUUCCAUUGCGAUGAGUAGAGGGAAAAUACUAGAAAAAGAAGUUCUCAAAGUAGUAAGCAAGAAAGAAAAGAUUGAAAUUGAAGAAGCUGGACUACUUCUUAAUGCCGAGUAUCCUAUUUUUGGAGCAACAGCAACCUGACGGGCUUACUGAAAAUUAUACAAUAGAAGUCAAAUGUCCUUCAACCGAAGCUGCCAUACUUUCCUAUGUGAAAGACAAUAAAAUAACACCAAAAUGUUGGACACAAGUACAACUGCAAAUGUUGUUCAGCAAAAGGAAAAUAGCACACCCAAAUUUUGAAAUAUCAAAAAAAGUAGAUAUUUACCGUGUGUCAUAUGGCAACAGCAUUGUAUCUGUAAUGAAUAUUGCAAAGAAAUUCUGGAUCUAUCCAGCUGUAUUUCCGAAAUUUAAAGAUAUACCCAUAUAAUAUUUAAGCACAUUUUUUUGUAUUUCAAAAAUUUC